AAAAAUAUAUUUUUUUGUUUAAUAAAUCUACAAAGUUAUUUAAUCAAAUAUUAAAUUUAUAUCUAAAAUUUAACCUACAAUUUUUUUUAUUAUCAAAAGUCAAAUAUUAUUGCUUAAUUUAUUCAAAAGAAUGUUAAAUAGACUUACUCAUUUACUAAAUCGAUCCAUCCUAUUGUAACCAUCAUUAAAAAAGUAGAUCAUCUUGAGAAACAAUUUUUAAAAUCAUGGCCUUCAUUUUGACCUCCAUUGUUUCCAAGAUCUACUCCUUCCAUCUCCAACAUUCAUUCC
rnacentral:lncRNA from 1 species